rnacentral:tRNA from 1 species
GGGCCUGUAGCUCAGGUGGUUAGAGCACACGCCUGAUAAGCGUGAGGUCGGUGGUUCGAGUCCACCCGGGCCCACCA